UACCAGCACCCCGAGUGGUCGGGACGAUUAUUGGGCCUAAAGCAUCCGUAGCCGGUCCUGCAAGUCUUCCGUUAAAUCCAGCUGCUCAACAGAUGGGCUGCGGGGGAUACUACAGGGCUAGGAGGCGGGAGAGGCAAGCGGUACUUUAUGGGUGGGGGUAAAAUCCGUUGAUCCAUAGAAGACCACCAGUGGCGAAGGCGGCUUGCCAGAACGCGCUCGACGGUGAGGGAUGAAAGCUGGGGGAGCAAACCGG
rnacentral:rRNA from 1 species